GUAUGGUUGUUGUUGUUGUUGUGUAUGGUUGUUGUUGUUGUUGUGUAUGGUUGUUGUUGUUGUUGUGUAUGGUUGUUGUUGUUGUCAGCGCUUGCAGAUGGGAAACUUGUGUGAUGUCAGAACGUGCAGGUUGGAAGUGUGUGUCCGGAAAAUACACCACCAUUCUGCUUGAUCAUUCAUGUGUCAGCCUCGAUUUUGUCUGUUUGUUCAAUAGCUCAUUUAGUGUUUGUUUAUCUGAACUUUUGUUGAGUUGCCUUUCAAAAGAAGGUCUCUUGUAAAAGUUUUAGUGUGUGUUUUACGGCGCUUGCAAUAUAAAACGGUCAUACAAGUGCCGAAGAUUAGAGGUGUUACAAGAGAGUAACACACACAGAAAGGAUGAGGCCACAAUAUAUAUAUUUUUUAAAGUUUUAGUAAGAGUUUUACGACACUUGCGACCCAAAAGGUGUUGAUGGUGAACAAGGAGCAAACCAUAGCCGAGCACCCACCAACCACCCAUUAAAAAAGGUAGACCUUGACCAA